AUUGAUUGAAAACCACCUGUGGUCACACUGCCUGUGGCCAUGGAUGAGAUGCAGUGCCUGGAGCUAGUGGGGCUUCAGCCCACUGCCCACUCUGGUGUGAGGAGGUGAAACCCCAACCCCUCUCAUC
rnacentral:snoRNA from 1 species